rnacentral:misc_RNA from 1 species
UACCCGUCAUACCUACGUUGAGUGAAUGGCGAGUGAGGCGUCCAUGUAUGUCGACAGCGAGGAGGCCAUGCCGCUACCGGAGCGCUUUCAACAGCUGCGGCACAGCCUCCACGGACACUGGGGCACCACUGCGGAGGCGGACCUGCUGCGGGCCAUGCAGCAACUGCACACGCGUCUCGUUGCUCGCAGUGCACAGACGCACCGACGAGUCGAGGAGCUCAGCCAGCGCGUCACCGCUGCACAGGUGUCCCUGGCCAACGCGCUCAACGCGCUGAAGCUGCUCUCUCAGCACCAGUUCGUGCAGCAUCGCAUCGCCACGGAGGAUCUCCAGCAGCGACAGCGCGCAGUCGCGGGGUCAAGCAGCGAGGAGGCGGAUGGCGAGAGCAGCGACGGCACGGUGAGCCCUAAUCGAGCCCUCACCACUUCGCUCCCCACUCACACGACGAAGGAAGCGGCGGUGCGUCGUCGCAUGCACGACUAUGUGGAGAUGUGCAAGGAGUCGCUCGCAGAGGAGGGUGUGCGGGUGCCGCUCUGCCCCGGUGACGUCGCAGAGUUGGCGGCCGAAAGCCCUUAUGCCCACCGCCGCCUGUGUGGGCUUAUAGGCACAACGGCCUUCCUGUACGAUGCGGACAUUGGGUGUAGGCGAGGAGCGGAUAUGAUGAACGCAGCGGCGGUGAAGCAGCGUCAGUCGCCACAGCCACAGCCCGCCUGCCUCCCUGCCGCUGCACCUCCUGCCGCUGCACCUCCUGCCGUUGUCACUGGAGUUCUCUCUGCGUCGGCUAAGCCCCUCUUUCCACCGAGCGCCGCGGCGAAGGCUUCCGUGCCGCCGCCGCAUGCGACAGUCACAGGCGCGGUUGCACCUCCAGCAAAGGCACCGCGAGCUCAGAGCAGCGUCGUUCCUCCGCCCACUGCGGCAACGUCGGCACCCGCAAAGAAGGAGCGGCAGCAGGCGCUGUUCAGCUCCUCCUCGUCUUCUGCGUCGUCGUCGGCGGCCUCGCCGUCUGCUGCCGUGACACCGGCUGCGAAGUCGUCUCCGCCAUUGACCAAACGCGGUGCUGCUGCACUGGCGCGUCCGCCAAAGUCUGCGCCGGCCAAGAAGGGUGCGCGCAACUUGUUCGGCUCCUCAUCCUCCUCCGUGAGGAGCAACAGCGUUAGUAGUGCUUGUGCUGAGGCAGCGAAGCGCGCGGCAUACUCGCCGACAUCGUCAGACCUCUCGUCCAGUGACGACUCGAGGCCACCGCCAGCGGCGGCGCGCAAGGCCAACAACCCGUCGCCGCCGCCUCUCGCGGCCACUACAACUUCGCCGCCUCGUGCGGCUUCAGCCUCGUCUCACUCUUCCCAAGGAUCAUCAGCGUUGUCUGGUACGCCGGCAUCGCUGCUCCCGAAGUCGACACCGGCAUCGCCGGCUACUGGUACCCCGGCGCCACCAGCAACGCCCCCGCCAGCGCCGCCACCGCCAUCUUCAGCAGCGCCAGCGGCUUAUGCACCGCCACCAGCGUCACCUUCACCGCCUCCCCCUCCCCCACCUGCUGCCGCGAGCGCACCUGCAGCUGUGUUACCACCGCCACCACCGGUGUUUCUAUUCGAUACAGUGUCCGCCAUGGGUGCGCCGGCACCACUUCCACAGGUUGCGGCGGUACAGGUCUCAGUGCCUCAGUCCGCCACCCCACCGUCUCGCACGGCUGCAGGUCCACAGCCGCCGCGGCGAGGCGGCAAAGUGCUGAGUACGUCAUCGGAUGACGACGCUGAAUGAUGAGGUCUCUGCAGGGGCGGCGGUGGCUGAUGACAGCCAUCGUCAGCGUGGCCGGCUGCGCCCUGGGCUUCUUUUUAACAUGCUUGUGCGCUAUGCUUGCCUUAGCGAGGCCUGCCACUCGUUGACAAGCGCCCAACCUGUCUUACCCCCCCCCCUCUGGAGGCUGUGAAGCGGCGCUCUGUGCCUCAGCCUUCCCCAAAACCAUCUCGCAUACGUAACACCUACAUUCCCCUCGCGCUCCCUACCCGCUCACUCUUCUCCUAACCGCGUCUUUUCUGCAG